AUUUCUAAUUUAUAUAGUUUAAAAAAAAAAACAUUACAUUUUCAUUGUAAAAUUAAAUUAUAAUUUUUUAA
rnacentral:tRNA from 1 species